rnacentral:misc_RNA from 1 species
CACGAAUACCCCAAGCGUUAUCCGGAAUUACUGGGCGUAAAGGGUCCGCAGGCGGCUCUGUUAGUCCGAUGUUAAAUCACGAGGCUUAACCUCGUGGCCGCAUCGGAAACGGCAGAGCUAGAGGGUGUGAGAGGUGAGUGGAACCGACGGUGUAGGGGUGAAAUCCGUUGAUAUCGUCGGGAACACCAAAAGCGAAGGCAACUCACUGGCACACUCCUGACGCUCAUGGACGAAAGCUAAGGUAGCGAACGGG